GCUUCAGUUUUCAACGCCUUCUUUUCUGUUUGUGUGGGCUGAAAAUGUGUGAGCUUUAUAUGGCACAAGGGUGUGCAUUCACUGAUGAAUCAUUAUAUCUUUGAUAUUACGAAUGUUUGAAGUCUGAACCUCCUAUGUACGACGAUGUGUAUAUUCUGUAAAAUGUGUAUUUUCAUCAUUUGUCUGACAGUCUAAUACUGAGCUUAAACAUGUACUCUUGGAUGAUAUGCGUGAGUUGUGGACUUCCUGCCCUUUAUCACAAAUCUACAGGAGAACCUACUCGGCGGUCCUGAUGUUGCACUCGGCAGCGGCGCCGGCGGUGGCAUCGUCUUGUUUCAGAUUUACUGAAUUGGCCAUGAAGGGUGGCUGAGCCAUCAGGAGCGGCAGCGGUGGCCUGCUGCGGACGCUGCUGCGGCUCCCUGUUCUUCAUCGCCUGCGUCUACCUGCUCCGUGCCGACCCCAUGUAUAUCCUCUCCUCCCCGUGCUUCUCUUGCCUGGGAGGCAACUCUUCAGUGUGCUUGACAUGGUCCAUCUUCUCCUCCCCAUUGCUCUCUCUAAUCCCCAAUGUUCACAUUUGGUCUGCUCUUGUCUUGUAGAUGUGCAGGAAGAAAAGGGCCAUAAGAUUGUACAGGCAGAACAUGAUGUUGUUCUGUUCAACCACAUUGCCCCUGGUAAACACGAUAUAUGGUUGCAAAGGUUGAAGAAGAGUAUGUCGAUCCGGAGCCUAAGCAAGCUAUAUUACCACCCCCAGCCAACAGUAAGUUCCUGCAAGACAAACACAACAACAUGUGUGUGGCAUAAGUAAAUAACUGAGUUAAUUUUGUUCCUAUGAUAUGACCUGAAACAUCUUCGCGUUAGAUUUCAUGUACUUACUAAUGCUUUGACCUGAAACUGGAACCACUGUAGCUGUUCUGCUGCCAAUAUAACUUUGUUUGCAUUUAGUUUGUUGUAAUAUUAAUUCAGGUUCUAUAGUCUGCUAGGUUAAGUUGUUUAUUUAGUUAAGUUCCCAUCUAAUUGCCUGAAUUAGUCAUGUAUGGAGAGCAGCUGAAAGUUAGAACAGGGUAUGCAACAAUAGUGUGAUUUAUGUUGCUGGAAGUACUGCCAAUGCUCUUGUCAUUUUUUAGCUUUGCUCUCGGUUUUGUUGGC